UUAAUUGAUUUUGAUUUAAUUGGAUUAAAUCCUCUUCUUAAAUACAAUCAUUUGCUUUUGAGCUGGUAGUGUUCACGAAAACAAAAGAAAUGCAUUGCAAAAAAAAAACAAAAAACACUUAGCUGAAAAAACCUACUAUUGUUAACCACUAGGGGGAGACAAAUCACAAAAAUUGGAAAACUAAAAACUUGCUCACUCCCAGAAAUGAAAUGGUUACAAAAUACUUUGGUCUGUAGAUCAGCCAAAAGUUUCCAUUUGUGACACCAACACUGUAACUGGAGAUGACAACUCGUCCACGGCAGUGAAAAGCGACCCUCGUCUCAUCAUGUUGAACACCGUCGUCCUGGUCUGUGUUUUCUUUCAGCUCCAGCUGCCAGUUAAUGAUGGAGCUCCCAGCGCUUACCAGGUCCUCCAGUCGCCUUGUUUCGCCGCUCCGAAACCCGGAGAAUCCGUCACGGUCCACUGUUCGCACAACGUAUCCAUUUUUGAGCACAUCCUUUGGUACAAACGAGAAAAACACGGAGCUCUGAGGUACCUGGGAUACAUGAACAGGAACUUCCCUUACCCAGAGGGCGACGUGAAGGACAAGAUGAACUUUGGAGGAGACGGCAGCAAACACGCGACCCUAAAUAUUUCGACUGUUUCGGAAAAUGACAGCGCGAUUUAUUUCUGCGCUGCCAGUCGACACAGAUCUUCGCAAAGCAGCAAAGUCCAACAGCGUCCAGCGGAUAUUUAUAAAUAUCCUAAUGAAAGUAAAGCCGAAAUUCGUUGUUCACACGACGACGACACCUUCACCAGAAUCCUCUGGUACAAGCAAUCAGCCCGCAAAGGCCUGCAGUUCCUGGGAUACCUGUACGGAGGCUCGGGAUCUCCGGAGAAAGACGUGAAUGUGGCAGUAUCUCUACAGUGUGUGGUGAUAACUCACAAGCAGAACAAUGUAUUAAGGCCCCGCCCGCUCAAAGAAGAAUAG